rnacentral:piRNA from 1 species
UAUCCGAAUCUCGGUGAGGUU